UUGGCGUGUCGUUCGGUGUCCGAGAAGAGGUAUUUGGGAAGACAAUUCAGCCUCUGGGUUACAGGGCACCUGAAGUCACCCUGGGCCUCCCCUUCUCCGAGGCCAUAGACGCUUGGAGUCUAGGCUGUGUGCUCGGGGUCUUGUACCUCUGCAAACACCUGUUUGCGAUAGACUGCGAGUACCAGUCAAUGAGGGGCAUUGUAGACGUCCUGGGCCAGCCAGCUGACCACCUUCUCUGUGCUGGGAAAUGCACACAAAA